GGCGCGCAAAUUACCCAAUCCCAAUUCGGGGAGGUAGUGACAAUAAAUACUGAUACAGGGCUCUUUUGGGUCUUGUAAUUGGAAUGAGUACAAUUUAAAUCCCUUAACGAGGAACAAUUGGAGGGCAAGUCUGGUGCCAGCAGCCGCGGUAAUUCCAGCUCCAAUAGCGUAUAUUAAAGUUGUUGCAGUUAAAAAGCUCGUAGUUGAACCUUGGGUCUGGCUGCUCGGUCCGCCUAACCGCGUGCACUGAUGCGGCCGGAUCUUUCCUUCUGGCUAACCUCAUGCCCUUUACUGGGUGUGCUGGGGAUCCAGGACUUUUACUUUGAAAAAAUUAGAGUGUUCAAAGCAGGCCUUUGCUCGAAUACAUUAGCAUGGAAUAAUAGAAUAGGACGGCGGUUCUAUUUUGUUGGUUUCUAGAGCCACCGUAAUGAUUAAUAGGGAUAGUCGGGGGCAUCAGUAUUCAAUUGUCAGAGGUGAAAUUCUUGGAUUUAUUGAAGACUAACUACUGCGAAAGCAUUUGCCAAGGAUGUUUUCAUUAAUCAGUGAACGAAAGUUAGGGGAUCGAAGACGAUCAGAUACCGUCGUAGUCUUAACCAUAAACUAUGCCGACUAGGGAUCGGGCGGUGUUCAACUUAUGACCCGCUCGGCACCUUACGAGAAAUCAAAGUUUUUGGGUUCUGGGGGGGAGUAUG
rnacentral:rRNA from 1 species